CCAGAUUCAAAUGUUGCUGGCAUUGUUGGCGUAGGUAAUGAACCAGAUGCGAAUGUUGCUGCUGAGUUUGACGUAUUUUGUGAACCAGAUGCGAAUGUUGCUGGCAUCGUUGGUGUAGAUUCUGAACCAGAUUCAAAUGUUGCUGGCAUUGUUGGUGUAGUUAAUGAACCAGAUGCGAAUGUUGCUGCUGAGUUUGACGUAUUUUGUGAACCAGAUGCGGAUGUUGCUGGCAUUGUUGGUGUAGAUUCUGAACCAGAUUCAAAUGUUGCUGGCAUAGUUAAUGAACCAGAUGCGAAUGUUGCUGCUGAGUUUGACGUAGUUUGUGAACCAGAGGCGGAUGUUGCUGGUAAUGUUCAAAACUGAAUCGCCUGUAUUUCUUCGUAAGUCGGAAACAAGAAUUCGACUGUUAUUAACUUGUAUAGGCUCUAUGUAUUGAGCCCGCUAACCGCAAUCAGUCUCGAUCAAAUCCGCGAAAAAGGGUUUUCCAUCCUUUUAUCUAUAUACAAUACAGUAAUUCUAUGUACCGACGUAGUACCCUAACGUGUUACCUGUUCAGUGGAAGGAUUUAGAAGCAACUGUGGCUUGAGGAUGGUUAUGGGUAUCGGGCUCCUAUCCGUUUAUAUAUUUUUUAUUAAAUACUGCGACUCUACAAAGUUUCAUGAUCAUGUAAGUAAUGUACGCUUUUGUGCGUAUGUUCGUCGAAGCAGUACUUGCGCAUGAGCAUACGCCCAAGCACGCGCUGCUUGUCUUUCAACGUGUACCGUAGUGCACAUAUUCUAUCUGGAGUGAAUAAAAACAUAUUUGUUUUUACUCACUCCUGACUUUGUAAUACAAGCAAAUUUGAAGAACCUCAUUUGCUAUGAUUAUGGGUAUUAAUGUUAUAUUAAAAAUUUUGUUUUAUCGAUUAUUAUUCAUAGUUUAUGAUGAAUUAUAUAUAUAUUGUAUGGAUUAAUUUCCGACUUAAAUAACUAACUUUUUAUUUAAAUGGCAAUCUUGCUAUAAUUUGUUGAAUGAAACAAGAUGUUUAGGCCUACUAUUACUACGUAUUUGAGGACAUAUGAUGUUAUAGAGGCUAUAUGAUUAUAUUAUUAUAUUAUUAUAUUAUGAUUAUAUAGGCUUAUAUGAUGUAGGCUUAUGAUGUCGUAGGCUCAUGAUGCCGUAGGCCGUUAUGAUGAUGUAGGCUCAUGAUAUAGGCUUAUAUGAUUAUAUUAUUAGAGGCUAUAGAUGUAUAUGAUGUUGAUGAUGAGAUAUAACAUCUGAAUUGAACACUGAUGCAGUCAAUUAUUGUGGUUUAUGAUGAUCGCGAGCUACUAAGUCCAAAACGUGUUCUAAACUUAGAGUUCGUGCGAUGUUUUUGCAUAUCGUGAUUAUCUAUACCAGACAUUGGCACGCGCGCGCGCACACGUACCAAGAUUGAACACAGCUCGUUCGUACGUGCGUGGGUGUGCGGAUGUCUAUGUGUAUGUGAAUACAUGUCGAUUUUAAUACGUUCAGAAUAGAUUUUAGCGGCGUAUAUGGUUAAAUUACUCACACUAUGUUGGGGUUCAUAAGGUCAUGAAACGGUGCGAGUAUGUAAAUGAUUUUCUUAACCUAAUCAUUUGUCUUACUUGGCUAGUUCGUUCGCAUGCCUUCAAACGGUAAUAAGAGCAAUGUGUUUCAUUAUUACAGAGAAGCCAUGUGAUGUGCGUAGACACGGUGUCAACGUCGUGGCGAGUGCCGUCUUCAUGUGCAGAUUUAUUUUGAGUUCGUGAAGUUCCUCUCAUGGCUUCUAUAAUUUGAUACUAACGCAGAAAGUACUAGUACAGCCGUGCUGAUAUUAUCUUUCGUUGAUGGCGUAAUAAUCUUGAAAGUAUUAUUUUUAACCAUCAUAUAUAUUUGUUCAAUUUUUUAUACAAAGUUAAUGCAACUGUAUUCGGUGAAUGUGUACUUACACUAAUAAAAUUCAAGGCAAGCAGUGUGUCUAGCCAUACA